UAGACUUUAUUUGCAUGUUAAUCGAGCAAGUGGCUUUCCCCUUUAAGGAAAGUGACGUCACUGUAGGGGCGUAGCCAGAGUGUGUGACUGAUGCAAUCCUGAACCAAUAAGAUUAUAGAAACAUUGGCGUUCCUGUCCAGGCAUGGUUCCACAUGCAGAAGUAGUGGUGGUGUAACCUUGGCUGAUUAGCGUCCUCGUUUCAAACACCAUAAAAGAAGCAACAUGCAGGCUGCUAUGGAUAUAACUGCAAAGUACUGCCGUAAAGAAAUGGAAGCGUAUGGGUUAUGUGUAGCCUCCAAUCCAUCAACAUGGCAGCAGAAGUGUCACGAGCUGAAGAUGAAUGUUGCACAAUGUACAUCAUCACACCCAGUCAUCCAGAAGAUCAGGCAGGAGUGUUCCAAUGAGUUUGUGGAGUUUGAGCGCUGCCUGAGAGAACAUCAGGGACAACCUGUCUCCUGCUCGCCACAUGUGGCUCGCUUUCUGGGCUGUGCAGAGACAGUCGACCUCAGUGGAGUGGCUACAAAUCCAGUAUCUCAACCAUCUUAGCACAGGAUGUCCUCCAUUACCAGAAAAAACCUGUAUCUACACCACUGCCACCAGGUUCUUGGGUAAUGGAGUCAGACAAAUUUGAUGUGCACUUGAUGACGCUUCCAUCAGUCAAGUCGUUCAGGUGUUGAAGCAGCAAAGCAGCCCCAAAACAUCACACUACCACCACCAUGGAUGACUGUUGGUAGGAUGUUCUUCUUCUGAAAUAGUGUGUUGAUUUUAUGAUGUUAGGAAUUACUUUUUCAUGUUUCUUUUUCAUGAGUUUGGAUAGCUUUUCCCCCCUUAAAUAAUUUAAAUAAUUUACAAAGUGUAUUUUAUUA